CCUUUAUAUCUCAUAAGUUGCUGCGUCUUUAACCAUUUCCUGAUCUCACCCUCCACCCCAUCCCGUGCCUUCCUCUUUUAAAAUCUCUGUGUGUAUGUGUCCCUGUGUGCUUGUGUGUGCCCAUGUAUGUGUCCAUGCCUGUGUGCAUGCCUGGAUACUGUGAAUGUAGCUGCAGACAGAUCAGGGCACUUGUGAGCUCAGAGGUUAAUCGUGGUGCAGGGCUUCAUCUUCCAUCUUGUUUCUCACUGCUUAUGCCAGGCUAGCUAGCUUUCGGGGACUCUUCUGUCUCUGUCCUCACAUGUCCUGGUAGGAGUGCUCGAAUUAUAGACAUGCUGCCCAGCUUCUGUCUUGCUUUUUCACCUGCCAUGACACUCGAAUAAUUGCUAUUACUUAGCUGGUUACCCGCUUCGAGUCAAUCACCCUGAGAUGUUGGUCUUCAUCCCCAACUUGACUAGAUUUAGAAUCACGUAGGAGGUACACAUCUAAGCACAUCUGUGGUGUUUUCAGAUAAAUUCAACUGUGUAAGGAAGAUCCAGUUACAUGUGGGCAACGGCAGCCAAUGGGCUGGGGCCUGAGAAUCAGCAUUCAUCCGUUUCUUGACUGUGUGACAGCCUGAAUCCAACCUCAGUGUGCCUCUGUCAGGAUGCGAUGGUGAACAAGACAGCCACAGACCAGCUCUCCUUGGAAACUGAGCUCAGAGGUGGAAACCAACCUAAAUAAACGGGAAUUAAGUGAGAUGAUGUGGAAGAGAGACUUGUGCUCAUUCUUCAGACUUCAACACCUAAGGGCCUGGCAAAUUGAUACUCAGGUUUAAGCACUGGAGUCUGGGUCUCCAGGGUUAACAUGAGUGCUUCGUAGGCAUGGCAGCCUACUUGAAAUCCGGGAACUGUGGGAUUUGAUGAGGAUGGGGAACGCCAAGGGAAACAGGGUACUCAGAGCACGCUGGUCAACAAGCCAACAGAACAGUGGCCUCUGUGCCCAGUAAACACGCUGGUGAGCAGCAGUGAAGUAUGACACCUAAGAUCAACUUCUGUCCUGCAUGUGUGUGUGCACAUACACAUAUCCAUAUUUCACACACACCCCCAUACAUAUGCAUACAUGGGAAAAGAAGGAGAAAGAAGACUGACUAGCAGCCGCAUGUCGAGGAGAGCAGGAUCUUAUCUUCGCAGUGUUUCCCUGUGGUAUUUACUGCCCUUGUUAUGGUCGUUGAUUCUAGAACUUGCCAGCCAGUGGGUAGAUGAGGCUGAACCAAUACAUACUGGGUCUGCAUGUGGAAGAAUGAGGCUUGCAGCCAACGGCCGUCCACAUCUCUGAUGAGGAUCAGUUCUCUUUCAGAGCACAUGGAAAUUGAAGCCAUGUGGGACUUAACAAGAGAUCAAAUGGUAUCUUAAACAUCCCAGGGCAGCUGCCCUGUCCCCAGAGCCUGGGGCGGCCUCUGUGAAGGGGCCCCUCUUUCCUGGUGUUCUGGGUCCCUCUCCUCCCAGCUCCACUGCAGCUUUGC
rnacentral:lncRNA from 1 species